rnacentral:rRNA from 1 species
GAUGAACGCUGGCGGCGUGCCUAAUACAUGCAAGUCGAGCGAACAGACGAGGAGCUUGCUCCUCUGACGUUAGCGGCGGACGGGUGAGUAACACGUGGAUAACCUACCUAUAAGACUGGGAUAACUUCGGGAAACCGGAGCUAAUACCGGAUAAUAUAUUGAACCGCAUGGUUCAAUAGUGAAAGACGGUUUUGCUGUCCCUUAUAGAUGGAUCCGCGCCGCAUUAGCUAGUUGGUAAGGUAACGGCUUACCAAGGCAACGAUGCGUAGCCGACCUGAGAGGAUGAGCGGCCACACUGGAACUGAGACACGGUCCAGACUCCUACGGGAGGCAGCAGUAGGGAAUCUUCCGCAAUGGGCGAAAGCUUGACGGAGCAACGCCGCGUGAGUGAUGAAGGUCUUCGGAUCGUAAAACUCUGUUAUUAGGGAAGAACAAAUGUGUAAGUAACUAUGCACGUCUUGACGGUACCUAAUCAGAAAGCCACGGCUAACUACGUG